GACGAACGCUGGCGGCGUGCCUAAUACAUGCAAGUAGAACGCACAGGAUGCACCGUAGUUUACUACACCGUAUUCUGUGAGUUGCGAACGGGUGAGUAACGCGUAGGUAACCUGCCUGGUAGCGGGGGAUAACUAUUGGAAACGAUAGCUAAUACCGCAUAAGAACAUUUACUGCAUGGUAGAUGUUUAAAAGGUGCAAAUGCAUCACUACCAGAUGGACCUGCGUUGUAUUAGCUAGUAGGUGAGGUAACGGCUCACCUAGGCGACGAUACAUAGCCGACCUGAGAGGGUGAUCGGCCACACUGGGACUGAGACACGGCCCAGACUCCUACGGGAGGCAGCAGUAGGGAAUCUUCGGCAAUGGGGGGAACCCUGACCGAGCAACGCCGCGUGAGUGAAGAAGGUUUUCGGAUCGUAAAGCUCUGUUGUUAAGGAAGAACGAGUG
rnacentral:rRNA from 1 species